GACGAACGCUGGCGGCGUGCUUAACACAUGCAAGUCGAACGGAAAGGCCCUGCUUUUGUGGGGUGCUCGAGUGGGGAACGGGUGAGUAACACGUGAGUAACCUGCCCUUGACUUUGGGAUAACUUCAGGAAACUGGGGCUAAUACCGGAUAGGAGCUCCUGCUGCAUGGUGGGGGUUGGAAAGUUUCGGCGGUUGGGGAUGGACUCGCGGCUUAUCAGCUUGUUGGUGGGGUAGUGGCUUACCAAGGCUUUGACGGGUAGCCGGCCUGAGAGGGUGACCGGCCACAAUGGGACUGAGAGACGGCCCAGACUCCUACGGGAGGCAGCAGUGGGGAAUAUUGCACAAUGGGCGGAAGCCUGAUGCAGCAACGCCGCGUGCGGGAUGACGGCCUUCGGGUUGUAAACCGCUUUCGCCUGUGACGAAGCGUGAGUGACGGUAAUGGGUAAAGAAGCACCGGCUAACUACGUG
rnacentral:rRNA from 1 species